CAGAAUAGCUUAUUUUAUCUUCUUGCUGUGUGCAGCAGCAAUGUCUGUCAUGGUGCUUUCCCAGUAGCCACAAAUUAAAGCAUGCCACUUAAGCAGAGUGAUCGUGUGAGUGUCACCCUCAGCACCUGAGGCUCAACCUGGUGUUUCUUCUCUGGCUGUUAGAGGACCCGAGGUUAUUACUGACAAGGUAGCUCAGACAAUAAAUAGAUACGAAUGUACCUUUUUCUACAUGCAACGAGAAAUUUUGAAAGGACCUAAACCACAGCUGAAGACAAAAGCAGGCUAAUGUAAUGAAUGGGAAAGAACCGUGAACAGCUCUGGGACUUGUGUGUAGAUUAUCUGUCUGGCAGGAUAUUCACUGGUCCUUUUGGUUUGUUUUCCUAUUAACUAAAGGCAAAGCUGAACAAUUACUUCCCUGCGUGUUGCUCUGUGCCUGCAUCGCGCUCCUGUCCCCACUGCACUCCCCUGGUGCUGGCAGCACGGGUGGUUAAUAUUAGCCACAUAGCUGAUUGUCCCGGUUGGUGCCCUGCAACAGCUGCGGGACGGCCGCCCGUGCUGGAAUCCCGCCCGGACCGAUGCUGGUGCUGGCACAAGCCCUUCCCAUUAUAUCAGGAAGGACCAUGUCCCGUUGCCACGAUGCGCCGGCACCCCAGGCUGGCCCCAGCUGUCUGCGGGACGUGGAGCAGGACGACAAGCACCCAGGGAGGCUGCUGCAGGAAGAAGCACACUGUGAUUGCUCUGAAGUGGGAAGACGGGAGGUUCCUGGAUGGGACUUACAGCUGUCUCUAUGAGUUUCAACAGGAAAAGAAGCUGAGGUUUUAAUAUUGUGAGAAUGCUCAUCCCUUUUCAGCUGGGAGAUGUCAGAAGCAGCUGCAGAUCUAAAUGAAAGGAGCUCAUCUCUGAAAAUUUGCUAUGCUGUAAUAAAUGCAGGGUUCUGCUGGUGAGCUGCGGAUGGCCCUUUAAUGUCUUUAACAGUACUCCAAGGCACUGUGGUUCCUCCC
rnacentral:lncRNA from 1 species